rnacentral:misc_RNA from 1 species
AGAUGUGGGGGAGGAAGACAUCGAGGGCGUAGUGAAAGCAUUUUUGGAGGACGUGAAGAGAGGGACAUGGAAGAAGGCAGGUUGGCCGGCGCUAUGGACGGAUUAUGCUGUGUCCAAGUUGGCGCUGAAUGCUUACACCAGAGUUUUGGCUAAGCGAUAUGGUGAGUUUGGGAGUGUGAGUGUGAAUAGCUUUUGCCCUGGCUUCACACAAACCUCAAUGACACGUGGAAAAGGAACACACACCGCCGCCGACGCCGCCCUCGUCGGAGCUAGACUCGCCAUGUUGCCGCCUCACCG